CGGGACCAGCCAUCUCUCAAGAGUUCAGAUCCGAUUCCCAUCUCAGGAUUGGAAACUCACCAUUUCCUGAGGAGUUCCGGGUCAUAUCUGAUGCCCGCAGUGACUGGGAAAUGAUCCUGUGUGGACUGACUGAUCAGCUGCCUUAGAGGGUUUUGGGUGGCUGAGUCAGUCCUGACACCGGAAACGUCUCGCUGGGUGCCAACUACGCCUAGAGACACUUGCAGAUUCGUUAAUGCUAGAUUAGGAUGCAUUUUGGGGAUGAGAUCUUCACUUCUUUGUUUCCUUAAAUUCAUCAAAUCAAUUGCUAAGCUUUUAGCCUUGAAAAAAUUCAGAUGGGGAAACUGAGGAUGAAAAAGGAUAAGUAUCCUACUCGGGGCAACACAGUGACUACAUGAGAUAGACUGGAAUGAAGAUCUUCUUGACUGAGAGUCCAUCAAAAAAAGUGGAAGGAACAAAACAAGGGAAUAAUUUAAACAAUAUUUUCAUUGAAAUCAUGUGAAGGAAUAAAACAUAGGAUGUAUAUUUAUUCGAACUAGCAAGAAUAAAAGCAAGUCUAUGGAGUCUACUUUCUCUAGUGUUUCAGUUAUUUCCUCAUAAUAAAAUGAAAGUCUUUAAUGAAUCAGGUCACUGCAAUAAUAAUAAUAAUAAUGUUCAAACAUCCUGCAAGUACUGAUGAUUUGUAGCCAUUCUAGAAAUUAAAUUGAAUUAUAUGUGCCAAAUAAAAGAUAGAGGA